rnacentral:rRNA from 1 species
GUGAGUCAUCGAAUCUUUGAACGCACCUUGCACUCUUGGGUAUUCCUAAGAGUAUGUCUGUUUGAGUGUCGUGAAUCUCUCAAAACCCCCUUUUGUUUAAUUACAAGAGAGUUUAGGGCUUUGGAUGUUGACUGCUUGCCGUUUCUUAAACGGCUCGGUCGAAAUAUAAAAGCUGAAGCUAAUGAUUAUAUUAACUCUGGCUCUGGAUUUGGCGUGAUAAUUAUUUCGCUAAUGAACGAGUUGGAUCGUAAUCGUUAAGCGGGCUACUAAAGCACAACUUUAACAUUAGACCUCAAAUCAGGCAGGACUACCCGCUGAACUUAA